ensembl:lncRNA
GGCAAGAAUACAUUUUUCUUUCCUUCGGGAUGGGAUAGUACAUUCUGUCCUGGAAAUUUUGCAGAUGGAGUGAACUUAUUAGCACUUGUUCCUAAGAUCUGGAUUCUGUUUUGUGUGUGUGUGUGUGUGUUUUUGUUUGUUUGUGGAGAUGUGUCUGACAUACCUUUCUGUUUUAAGAAUGAACCUUUCACCUGUGCUCCUCCCAGGGCCAGUGUUUUGGUGGAUGUCCUGAAGUUGGCCAAGGCAGGGCUUCGUUCCGAUGUCCUCAGAGCACAUGAGGGAUCAGUGGUCAGGGACACAUCAGGCUGGUUAUCUGGGGUCACCAGCUUUGGCCAUAGAGCUGGAGAAUUUCCUUGUUUCAACUAAUUUGGGUUUUUUUGUUUCUUUGUUUGUUUUUGAUUUUUGGCCAUGUCCAUGGCCUGUGGAAGUUCCUGGGCCAGGGAUCGAACCUGCACCACAGCAGUGACCUGAGCCACUGUAGUGACAAUGCCGGAUCUCAACCCACUGCAUCACAGGGGCACUCCUCAACUACCAUUUUUUUUAUUUUUUAUUUUUUUUUAUUUUGAUAGAUUAUUAUUAUUUUUUUGCAUUUAUUUUAAAAAAAAUUUUUAUUACCCAAAUGAAUUUAUCACAUCUGUAGUUGUAUAAUGAUCAUAACAAUCUGAUUUCACAGGAUUUCCAUCCCACAGUCCAGGCACAUCCCCCCACCCCCCAAACUGUCUCCAGAGACCAUAAGUUUUUCAAUGUCUGUGAGUCAGCAUCUGUUCUGCAAAGAAGUUCAGUCUGUCCUUUUUUCAGAUUCCACAUGUCAUGAAAGCAUUGGAUGUUGGUGUCUCAUUGUACAACUGACUUCACUUAGCAUGAUAGUUUCUAGGUCCAUCCAUGUUGCAAAAAUGCUGGUAUUUCGUUCUUUUUAAUGGCUGAGUCAUAUUCCAUUGUGUAGAUGUACCACAUCUUCUUGAUCCACUCCUCCGUUGAUGGACAUUUAGGUUGUUUCCAUGUCUUAGCUAUUGCAAAUAGUGCUGCAGUGAACGUUGGAGUCCAUGUGUCUUUGCGAGUCGUGGUUUUCUCUGGAUAGAUGCCCAGGAGUGGGAUUGCUGGAUCAAAUGGUAGUUCUAUGUUUAGUUUUCUGAGGCAUCUCCAUACCGUUUUCCACAGUGGUUGCACCAAUUUACAAUCCCACCCACUGCAUCACAGGGGCACUCCUCAACUCCAUUUUUUAAAGAAAUGAUUUUUAUUUUUUCCAUUAUAGCUGGUUUACAGUGUUCUGUCCAUUUUCGGCUAUACAGCAAGGUGACCCAGUCACACACACAUGUAUACAUUUUUUUUCUCACAUUAUCACGCUUCAUCAUAAGUGACUAGAUAGAGUUCCCAGUGCCUUACAGCUGGAUCUCAUUCCUUAUCCAGCAGGAUCUCAUUGCUUUGCCACUCCAAAGGCAAUAGUUUGCAUCUACGCAACUACUGUUUGGAUUCCAGGAGCCAUCAGCUCAGCUGACUGGCCGUAGGAGACUAUUUCCCCAACACUUUUUUUUUUUAAAAAAUAAAAAAGGUUCCCUGCAAAGCGUCUCGAUGUGGCAAGCAGGAGAGCAUCACAAUUUGAUUUACAUUAAAAAAAAUUUUACACCGUGGUCUAAUAUACAUAACAUAAAAUUGACCAUCUUAAUCAUUUUUAAGUGUACGGUUCAGUGAUAUUAAGUAUAUUUGCAUUGUUAUGCCAACAGUUGCUGGGACUUUGCAUCCUCUAACUGUUGACCAGUGCCCCAUUCUCCUCUCUCCCCCAGCCCCUGGCCACCACCAUGCGACCUUCUGUCUCUGACCUUGACUGCUCUCAGAGCCUUAUAUAAAGUGAAUCCUACGGUAUUUGUCUUUUUGUGACCGACCGAUUUCACGUAACGUAAUGUCCUGCAGGUUCCUCCACAUUAGAGCACGUGUCAGCAUUUUCUUCCUUUUGAAGACGAAACAGGUCUGUUCCAUUGUAUGAAUAGACCAUAUUCUGUGUAUCCAUUUAUCUCUACGUGGACACGUGGGUUGCUUCUGCUUUUGGGCUGUUGUGAAUAAUUAUACUGCUCUGUGCAUGCAAAUAUUUCUUCGAGACCCUCCUUUCAAUUCUUUCAUAUAUAAAUCUAGGAGUAGGCUUGCUGGAUCAUAUGUUGAUUCUGUGUUUAGUUUUUCUGGGGAACUGCCAUACUGUUUUCCAUGGCAGCUGCUCCAUUUUACAUUCCCACCAACAGUGUACAGGGUUCCAAUUUUUCCACACCCUCAGCAACACUUGUUAUAUUCUGUGGUGUUUGGCCACGCUGUGGGCAUGUGGAAGUUUCUGGGCCAGGAAUUGAACCUGUGCCACAGCAGUGACAAUGCCGUAUCCUUAACCCACUCAGCCACCAGGGAACUCUUAUAUUCUGUGUUUUGGACACAACCAUCCUGAUGGGUGUGAGAUGAUAUCUUAACUUGUGUUUUCUGCCUGGGUUUGGGAUGCCUGUUGCACCUGUCUUGUGUCUUCAGGUGCUAGUGUGCAGAGAAAGUAAGACCCAGUUCCUGCCACAGGGGAGGAACCUCCUGGUCUGUUGAAAGAGAGAGGCAUCUAAACAGAAGAUUAGGAGUUCCCAUCAUGGCUCAGUGGUAACGAACCUGACUAGUAUCCAUGAGGACACAGGUUCCAUCCCUGGCCUCGAUCAGUGGGUUAAGGAUCCAGUGUUGCCAUAAGCUUCGGUGUAGGUUGCAGAUGUGGCCCAGACCCCACAUUGCCAUGUCUGUGGCAUAGUCCAGCAGCUGCAGCUCUGAUUUGACCCCUAGCCUGGGAACUUCCAUAUGCUGCAGGUGCAGCCCUAAAAAGACAAAAGAAAUAAAUAAACAGAAAAGUAUAACACAGCAUGACAAGAAUCAAGGACAGAGAUAAGUCUUAAAGCACAAAGGAGAAACAUGAUGCAGUCUUUAAAGCUUUCUUGCUAGAAGGAGCCAGAAAAUGAGAAAAGAAAUCUAAACUUUGACUGGUUGGUGGGUUUGGAUUAGAGCCAUAUUUUUGGAAUAAACUGAUAUUCGAAGCCUUUUUUCCUUUCCAUCUGUGUGUCUCUCUGGUCCUGAGAGGUUGUAAAGGUGGCUUAAUUGGGUUACUGACUUGAGAGCUUGUGGUUAUCAGAAAGGGGCCAAACUGAGAUCCUUGGGAUCAGAUGUCCAGAGCAGGCGGGUGGGCACAGGUGGGUGGGCACAGGUGGGAGAUGCUCACGGAGUCUGACCCAGCUGAUGUGUAUUUGCCUCUGCCUCCAUUUUAGGCACGUUCAGGGGUUCUGGUCCUGGGAGUUUGUCACAUGGGAGAAGGUGCGGUGACAAGAUAUGGAGAGAGAAACAAAGUAUAUAAAGGCCUGCUAUUUAAGAAUGGUGCUAUUCUUGUUGUGGUGACUCACGCUCGUCCAGCCCUUGAGGAUCUGUGCAGAGGAAGGGAGGACUGAGUUGCAGCUUGGAGGUGGGCAGUCUGGCUGCCGGUCCUGGGACGGAGGCCGUGUGUGAUCUCACCCGUGUUUCCGAGGGCCGUCCUGCCAGCAGGACUGCUCAGCGCCCAUUCCCGUUCCUCUGCCUUGCCUUUUAUAGCACUGCUUUUAAAAGAGGCAGUGGGUCUGAUGUCCCAAGAUCUGUAUGCCUUUCUCUGGGGGGAGAGAGAGCAAGCAUGAAUGUCAUUUGGUCAAUUCCCAUGUCAAUUUCUUCUCCCCACAGUUUGGUUUAGUGCUUCUGUAUGAUGUCUGUGCUGCUUGGGAGGCCCGCUAGAAACUCAUCUCUCUCUCUCUGCUGGAGUAGAUGGAGGACCCUCUGUGCCCCUGGAACCUGCAGAGUGACAGGUACUUUGCAGGAGAUGAGCCAGUGUUGGCAGGUGAAUGAAUGGGUGUGAUGGGUGUACAAAGGGGUGGAGCUUCUGGAGCAUCUGGCCUUUCUCUCAGCUUGCUUUACCCCUUUCUCUUGGUGCAGGUCAUUUUUAGUCUGACUCAGGCAGCUGACGUUGCCUUCUAAUGGUCUUUUCUCCCCUCAGUGUCAUUGUUCCGACUUCCGUCAGAACUUUUCGUCACCCUUAUACCAUCUGACACACACUUGGUCAUGUCUCUCUUCUACUCGGAAUGUUUCAGGCUUUAUUGUGACCCAGAGACCGAAAUCCACGACCCUGCGCAGGCUGAUUCCUGUCUGCCGUUCUGACCUUGCCACUUUCACCCCACCCCCUACCUCUCUCUCAUCUCGCUCCAUCCUAAAUUUCUUCUCCCUCCUGUGAUGUGGGGUAUGUAUGCCUUCUCUUUCCCUGGGCAUGUGCUUCUUCCUCCUCCCUUUGGCCUGGCACAAAAUGUCACCUCUUUGGGGGUCUGUCUGUGCCCCUUCAGGGAAAGAAGGCCGUGCUUCCUUCUGGCUUCCUGUUCCCUUUGCACAGACUGUCAUUGUACCACUCACUCCAUAAAUAUACUGAAGUCCCUUUUCUUUAUAUUUAUUCCCUUAUGAAUUUAAAAAUGAUUUGAGACAAAAUAGAAAUUACCGACUGCAGAAUUAUCCUUAUGACUACAAAAUAUGAUAACGGUUGUUGUGUUAAGGAAUUCAUGACGAAGGGAGCGUGAGGAUGAAGCUAGGGGUCAGGUGACUAUGGAUAGUAUAUGCUCUAAAGUCCAGUCCAUCUGCCAGAAAUGGACCCAGAUUUGCACCUUUCUACAAGCCAACAUCAAGAGAGAAGUAUCCCUGGGGUUCACCUUGUCUCUAGGAGUAAGCAAGUUAGAAAUUGCACAACUGGAGUUCCCAUCUUGGCACAGUGGAAACGAAUCCGACUAGGAACCGUGAGGUUGCAGGUUCAAUCCCUGGCCUUGAUCAGUGGGUUAAGGAUCCGGCGAUGCUGUGAGCUGUGGUGUAGGUCAAUGAUGUGGCUCAGAUCUGCCGUUACUGUGGCUGUGGUGUAGGCCGGCAGCUGUAGCUCCUAUUAGACCCCUAGCCUGGGAACCUCCAUAUGCCUCGGGUGCAGCCCUAAGAAGACAAAAGACAAAAGAAAAAA